GACAGAGGGUGCAAACGUUGUUCGGAAUUACUGGGCGUAAAGCGCGUGUAGGCGGUCGUGCAAGUCGGGUGUGAAAGCCCAGGGCUCAACCCUGGAAGUGCAUUCGAUACUGCAUGGCUAGAGUCCCGGAGAGGAUGGUGGAACUCUCGGUGUAGAGGUGAAAUUCGUAGAUAUCGAGAAGAACACCGGUGGCGAAGGCGGCCAUCUGGACGGUGACUGACGCUGAGACGCGAAAGCGUGGGGAGCAAACAGG
rnacentral:rRNA from 1 species